ensembl:snoRNA
GUCUCGAAACAAUGAUGAGAUAAUUUCCAAGCACAUAUCUGAGGUUUCCAUGUGGAAUUUAAAUACUGAGUUUCCUUGGG